rnacentral:rRNA from 1 species
UACAGAGGUCCCAAGCGUUGUUCGGAUUCAUUGGGCGUAAAGGGUGCGUAGGCGGUCGGCUAAGUCAUAUGUGAAAUCUCGAGGCUCAACCUCGAAAUGGCAUGCGAUACUGGUCGGCUAGAGGGUCGGAGAGGAGACUGGAAUUCACGGUGUAGCAGUGAAAUGCGUAGAUAUCGUGAGGAACGCCAGUGGCGAAAGCGGGUCUCUGGACGACACCUGACGCUGAGGAACGAAGGCUGGGGGAGCGAACAGG